rnacentral:misc_RNA from 1 species
CUGGAACGCGCUUCGGCGCACCCAGAAACCCUUUGUGAACUUAUACCUACUGUUGCCUCGGCGCAGGCCGGCCUUUUGUGACAAAGGCCCCCUGGAGACAGGGAGCAGCCCGCCGGCGGCCAACUAAACUCUUGUUUCUUUAGUGAAUCUCUGAGUAAAACAUAAAUGAAUCA